rnacentral:tRNA from 1 species
CGGGGCGUGGCGCAGUCUGGUAGCGCACCAGUCUGGGGGACUGGUGGUCGUCGGUUCAAAUCCGGCCGCCCCGA